UACGUAGGGUGCAAGCGUUGUCCGGAAUUAUUGGGCGUAAAGAGCUCGUAGGCGGUCUGUCGCGUCGGCUGUGAAAACCCGGGGCUCAACCCCGGGCCUGCAGUCGAUACGGGCAGACUAGAGUGCGGUAGGGGAGACUGGAAUUCUGGUGUAGCGGUGAAAUGCGCAGAUAUCAGGAGGAACACCGGUGGCGAAGGCGGGUCUCUGGGCCGUAACUGACGCUGAGGAGCGAAAGCGUGGGGAGCGAACAGG
rnacentral:rRNA from 1 species